UUCUAAUGGUUUGGGUGGCUUUGUUCCUAAAUGUUCAUUACCCAUUAUCAUGGAUAUAUAGAUAAUUACCCUGCUCCUCAGUACACUGUGGCCUGCUGAUUUUCAAUAUGUAUCGAUUUUGGCUUUGCUUCUUUUUUGCUGUCAGUUUAUGGCCAACACAAAGCCCCCCCUAACACAGAAAAUUUAAAGAAACUUUAAACAAAGUAUGCACACCAACAAAACAGACGAAAAUAGAUAAAUAAAUAAACCCCGCAGACUGUUUAAUAAGAAUUUUUUGACACUUGAAACGAUUACUAAUCUCAAACAUGGUUUACAAUCCAAUGCGAAAGCCAAAUGGCAGUAAGUACUCUUUGGAGUUUUGCACCAAUUACUUGUGUAUAACACCACCACCACCACCACCGCCGCCACCAUUAACUAAUUGAUUUUUUUUUUAAGAGCAACAUACAUAUACAGGUGUUACUUUAACGAUGUUUAUCAAUGUUGAGUCACUUUUUCGAAGUUUUAUGAUGAAAUUCGGAAAAUAUAUUCAAAUGUUGCGGGUACUGCAUUGUUGGGUGCAUGUGUCUUAA